GAACUUCUGGAAAUGCGUCAAAAAGCCUUUCUUCUCUGCCUAAACUGUGCUGAGGAUCCAACCUGGUUUAUACGCUAGUUUGGCAUAUUUGAUUACUUAAAAAUGAAAUCUGCGUGUUAAAUAUUCUAAAAUAUAUUUAUAAUUUUGACAUUGUUGUUUUGUUCUGUCUGCCAUGAGUACAUUAUCAUUCUUUGUUUCAAGCAACGAACUGAAGUAUUAGCAAGAAUUUCUUUCCAUUUUCUUAGAACUCCCCAAGGUCUAUAGUUUUCUUUGCAGAAACAGUUGCCAUUAAAUAUGCUGUAUGUCAAUGCAGCAGUGAGGUGGUUAAUUUUGACUGAAUAUUAUGCUAUAUAACCACUUGGCAUUUAACUUGAAAAAUGACUUUCUGCUUCACCUGUCAGCAGCCUAGUUCUCAUCAAAUAAGUGGGCUCUACUCAUGAGCAUAGUGUGGGGCUUGCAGGAUGUCACUAUGUCCUCCUGACAGUUACCUCUGCUACUGACUGUGAUCAGAUAUACCAAUUCGGUGGUUCAUGUUCUUCAGUCCUCAAGGGAAGAGUAUGAGGUCCACAACCAGCCUCUACAGAAGAUGAACUACCAUCAAACGAAGCAUCAAAAGGAAUUCAAGCUUACUUGGUCAUAGUCUGGACAUCACAUUUUUAUAGGAACAAAGGAAGAUGUGGUAUGCCCUUCACAUAUGCUCAUAUUAAAAAUUUACUAGGAUAUCCAAAGUUGGAAGGGACCCACAAAGAUCAUCGAGUGUGACUCCUGAAAUUUUGGGCUAAGGAUUAAGAAAUACUUUACUUUUUUUUAAAAAAAGAACAGCAGGUAAGUAAGUGUAUAAAAAGGAAAUUUGUUCCCAUAUUAUGUAUCCUUAUACCUGCAAAUUU
rnacentral:lncRNA from 1 species